rnacentral:rRNA from 1 species
ACGGGAGGCAGCAGUGGGGAAUAUUGCACAAUGGGCGCAAGCCUGAUGCAGCGAUGCCGCGUGAGGGAAGAAGGUUUUCGGAUUGUAAACCUCUGUCAACAGGGACGAAAAUGACGGUACCUGUGAAGGAAGCUCCGGCUAACUACGUGCCAGCAGCCGCGGUAAUACGUAGGGAGCGAGCGUUAUCCGGAAUUACUGGGUGUAAAGGGAGUGUAGGCGGGACUGUAAGUCAGAUGUGAAAUAUGCCGGCUCAACUGGCAGACUGCAUUUGAAACUGCGGUUCUUGAGUGAAGUAGAGGUAAGCGGAAUUCCUAGUGUAGCGGUGAAAUGCGUAGAUAUUAGGAGGAACAUCAGUGGCGAAGGCGGCUUACUGGGCGUUAACUGACGCUGAGGCUCGAAAGCGUGGGGAGCAAACAGGAUUAGAUACCCUGGUA